CCUACGGGAGGCUGCAGUAGGGAAUAUUGCUCAAUGGGGGAAACCCUGAAGCAGCAACGCCGCGUGGAGGAUGAAGGUUUUCGGAUUGUAAACUCCUUUUGUUAGAGAAGAUAAUGACGGUAUCUAAUGACUAAGCACUGGCUAACUCCGUGCCAGCAGCCGCGGUAAUACGGAGGGUGCAAGCGUUACUCGGAAUCACUGCGCGUAAAGAGCGCGUAGGCGGGAUAGCAAGUCAGAUGUGAAAUCCUAUGGCUUAACCAUAGAACUGCAUUUGAAACUGUUAUUAUAGAGUAUGGGAGAGGUAGGUGGAAUUCUUGGUGUAGGGGUAAAAUCCGUAGAGAUCAGGAGGAAUACUCAUUGCGAAGGCGACCUGCUAGAACAUAACUGACGCUGAUGCGCGAAAGCGUGGGGAGCAAACAGGAUUAGAUACCCGGGUAGUC
rnacentral:rRNA from 1 species